GGUCCAGUAGCUCAGGUGGCAGAGUCCCAGCACAUAUAGCCAGGAGGUCCUUAGCUCAAUCCUAGGCUGGGUUA